GACGAACGCUGGCGGCGUGCUUAACACAUGCAAGUCGAACGGGCCUUGUCCCCUUUUUUUUUGGGGGUGGGGUUAGUGGCGAACGGGUGAGUAACACGUGAGUAACCUGCCCCUCACUUCUGGAUAACCGCUUGAAAGGGUGGCUAAUACGGGGUGUUCUGGCCUGCUCGCAUGGGUGGGUUUGGAAAGAUUCGACCGGUUUUGGUUGUUUUGGUGGGGGAUGGGCUCGCGGCCUAUCAGCUUGUUGGUGGGGUGGUGGCCUGCCAAGGCUUUGACGGGUGGCCGGCCUGAGAGGGUGGGCGGUCACACUGGGACUGAGACGCGGCCCAGACUCCUACGGGAGGCAGCAGUGGGGUAUAUUGCACAAUGGGCGCAAGCCUGAUGCAGCGACGCCGCGUGAGGGAUGGAGGCCUUCGGGUUGUGAACCUCUUUCGCCAGUGAAGAAGGUCCUGCUCUUUGUGGUGGGGUUGACGGUAGCUGGGUUAAUGAAGCGCCGGCUAACUACGUG
rnacentral:rRNA from 1 species